GAGUUCGUACCUGAAAUUAAAUAAGGAUUACUUUGAUAGAGUAACAUUGAAGGUUAAAGUCCCUCCGACUCCUA
rnacentral:tRNA from 1 species